rnacentral:rRNA from 1 species
UACGUAGGGGGCAAGCGUUGUCCGGAUUUAUUGGGCGUAAAGGGCGCGCAGGCGGCUCGGAAAGUCGGGUGUGAAAACUCGGGGCUCAACCCCGGGCGUGCAUCCGAUACUGCCGGGCUUGAGGCAGGUAGGGGAGAUCGGAAUUCCUGGUGUAGCGGGUGAAAUGCGCAGAGUAUCAGGAGGAACACCGUGGCGAAGGCGGAUCUCGUGGGCCUGUCCUGACGCUGAGGCGCGAAAGCUAGGGGAGCAAACGGG